AACACGUAAAGAAUCUGCCCUAAGGUGGGGAAUAACUAUCCCAACGGAUAGCUAAUACCGCAUAAGGAUGGAGGUGGCAUCACCUCUUCUCGAAAGAUUUAUCGCCUUAGGAUGACUUUGCGUCCCAUUAGCUUGUUGGCGGUGUAACGGACCACCAAGGCGACGAUGGGUAUCCGGCCUGAGAGGGUGUACGGACACAUUGGGACUGAGAUACGGCCCAGACUCCUACGGGAGGCAGCAGUAGGGAAUUUUGCGCAAUGGAGGAAACUCUGACGCAGCAACGCCAUGUGUGGGAUGAAGCAUUUCGGUGUGUAAACCACUGUCAGCAGGGAAUAAAUGGUCGCUUCGGCGGCAGUUGAAUGUACCUGCAAAGGAAGCCCCGGCUAACUUCGUGCCAGCAGCCGCGGUAAUACGAGGGGGGCAAAUGUUGUUCGGAAUCACUGGGCGUAAAGGGAGCGUAGGCGGGUGUUUAAGUUAGGUGUUUAAUCCCGGGGCCCAACCCCGGACAGGCACCUAAAACUGGACAUCUUGAAUAGUGGAGAGGACGACGGAAUUGGGGGUGUAGCGGGUGGAAUGCCGUAGAGAUCCCCAAG
rnacentral:rRNA from 1 species